rnacentral:rRNA from 1 species
GAUGAACGCUGGCGGCGUGCUUAACACAUGCAAGUCGAGCGAGAAAAGUUCUUCGGAGCUUUUCUAGCGGCGGACGGGUGAGUAACACGUGGGCAACCUGCCUCAUAGAGGGGAAUAGCCUUCCGAAAGGAAGAUUAAUACCGCAUAAUAUUGUUGAAAGGCAUCAUUUAACAAUCAAAGGAGCAAUCCGCUAUGAGAUGGGCCCGCGGCGCAUUAGCUGGUUGGUGAGGUAACGGCUCACCAAGGCGACGAUGCGUAGCCGACCUGAGAGGGUGAUCGGCCACAUUGGAACUGAGACACGGUCCAGACUCCUACGGGAGGCAGCAGUGGGGAAUAUUGCACAAUGGGGGAAACCCUGAUGCAGCAACGCCGCGUGAGUGAUGAAGGUCUUCGGAUUGUAAAGCUCUGUCUUUAGGGACGAUAAUGACGGUACCUAAGGAGGAAGCCACGGCUAACUACGUGCCAGCCGCCGCGGUAAUAC